GGGGAAUGUAUAGCGAAAGCUAGUUGUAUUAACUAUUAGUUAAUGCAAAAUCGAUUAUGUCGAAUAAAGUUCUAGGUAGAAUAAUGAUUAUGACAAUUUUCUACCUAUAUGUCUUGACCAAACCUCGUGCCAGCAGUCGCGGUAAUACGUGGAAGACUAGUGUUAUUCAUCUUUAAUAGGUUUAAAGGGUACCUAGACGGUUUUUCUAGCCCAAAAUAGGGUACAGAUUUACUAGAGUUUUAUGUGAGGAGGGGAGUACUUAUGGAGUUAGAGAUGAAAUUCUGUCAUACUAUAAGGAAACUGGUGGCGGCGUAAGCAACCUUCUAAGUAUAAACUGACGUUGAGGGACGAAGGCUUGGGUAGCAAAUAGGAUUAGAUACCCUAGUAGUCCAAGCAGACAAUCCUGAAUGCCAUAGAUUAGAUUAUUUUUGGUCUAUAAAUGAAAGUGUAAGCAUUCCACCUCAAGAGUAAUGUGGCAACACAGGAACUGAAAUCAUUAGACCGUUUCUGAAACCAGUAGUGAAGUAUGUUAUUUAAUUCGAUGAUCCGCGAAAAACCUCACCACAAUUUGAAUAUUAUUAAAAUAAUACAAGCGUUGCACGGCUGUCUUCAGUUAAUGUCGUGAGAUUUUGGUUAAUUCCAUU
rnacentral:rRNA from 1 species